UAAUACGUAGGGGGCGAGCGUUGUCCGGAAUUAUUGGGCGUAAAGAGCGUGUAGGCGGUUUGGUAAGUCUGCCGUGAAAACCUGGGGCUCAACCCCGGGCGUGCGGUGGAAACUGCCAGGCUAGAGGAUGGUAGAGGCGAGUGGAAUUCCGAGUGUAGCGGUGAAAUGCGCAGAUAUUCGGAGGAACACCAGUAGCGAAGGCGGCUCGCUGGGCCAUACCUAACGCUGAGACGCGAAAGCGUGGGGAGCGAACAGGAUUAGAUACCCUGGUAGUCCACGCCGUAAACGAUGAACACUAGGUGUUGGGGGAGUCGAAUCCCUCGGUGCCGCAGCCAACGCGUUAAGUGUUCCGCCUGGGGAGUACGGCCGCAAGGCUAAAACUCAAAGGAAUUGACGG
rnacentral:rRNA from 1 species